rnacentral:rRNA from 1 species
CGAACGAGACUUUUUAUUUGAUGCUUGCAUCUUUUAAAAGUUGAGUGCCGAACGGGUGAGUAACACGUGGGUAACCUGCCUUAAAGUGGGCGAUAACACUUGGAAACAGGUGCUAAUACCGCAUAACCAUCAAAACCACCUGGUUUUGAUGUUAAAGAUGGUUCUGCUAUCGCUUUAAGAUGGACCCGCGGCGUAUUAGCUAGUUGGUGAGGUAACGGCUUACCAAGGCAAUGAUACGUAGCCGAACUGAGAGGUUGAUCGGCCACAUUGGGACUGAGACACGGCCCAAACUCCUACGGGAGGCAGCAGUAGGGAAUCUUCCACAAUGGACGAAAGUCUGAUGGAGCAACGCCGCGUGAGUGAAGAAGGUUUUCGGAUCGUAAAACUCUGUUGUCAGAGAAGAACGUGUGUGAGAGUAACUGUUCACGCAGUGACGGUAUCUGACCAGAAAGUCACGGCUAACUACGUGCCAGCAGCCGCGGUAAUACGUAGGUGGCAAGCGUUGUCCGGAUUUAUUGGGCGUAAAGGGAACGCAGGCGGUCUUUUAAGUCUGAUGUGAAAGCCUUCGGCUUAACCGAAGUCGGGCAUUGGAAACUGGGAGACUUGAGUGCAGAAGAGGAGAGUGGAACUCCGUGUGUAGCGGUGAAAUGCGUAGAUAUAUGGAAGAACACCAGUGGCGAAAGCGGCUCUCUGGUCUGUAACUGACGCUGAGGUUCGAAAGCGUGGGUAG